CUACGGGUGGCAGCAGUGGGGAAUAUUGCACAAUGGGCGCAAGCCUGAUGCAGCCAUGCCGCGUGUAUGAAGAAGGCCUUCGGGUUGUAAAGUACUUUCAGCGGGGAGGAAGGGAGUAAAGUUAAUACCUUUGCUCAUUGACAUUACCCGCAGAAGAAGCACCGGCUAACUCCGUGCCAGCAGCCGCGGUAAUACGGAGGGUGCAAGCGUUAAUCGGAAUUACUGGGCGUAAAGCGCACGCCGGCGGUUUGUUAAGUCAGAUGUGAAAUCCCCGGGCUCAACCUGGGAACUGCAUCUGAUACUGGCAAGCUUGAGUCUCGUAGAGGGGGGUAGAAUUCCAGGUGUAGCGGUGAAAUGCGUAGAGAUCUGGAGGAAUACCGGUGGCGAAGGCGGCCCCCUGGACGAAGACUGACGCUCAGGUGCGAAAGCGUGGGGAGCAAACAGGAUUAGAUACCCCGGUAGUC
rnacentral:rRNA from 1 species